rnacentral:rRNA from 1 species
CCCUUAGAUGUUCUGGGCCGCACGCGCGCUACACUGAUGCAUUCAACGAGUCUAAAACCUGCUCUGAUAGGGGUGGGUAAUCUUUUGAAUGUGCAUCGUGAUUGGGAUAGAUGAUUGCAAUUUUUCAUCUUCAACGAGGAAUGCCUAGUAAACGCAAGUCAUCAGCUUGCAUUGAUUACGUCCCAGCCCUUUGUACACACCGCCCGUCGCUCCUACCGAUUGAAUGAUCCGAUGAAUAUCAUGGAUUGAGGAUGCAAGUAGGUUCGCCUAUCUUCAUCUUCGAGAAGUGAAGUAAAUCUUAUCAUUUAGAGGAAGGAGAAGUCGUAACA